GCAGAGACAGACUGGCUGAUGUUGUAUAGUUUGUAGCCCUAGAGUAAGAAGUUGACAUUAAUUUUGGCUUAUAUGUGGAAAAGACCUAUAACAUUGGGUGAACUGAGCCAGCUGGCCAUAGAACACAAGAACAUAUUCCAGGAAAUAAAUAUAGCUGAGGGUUGGAAAUGCUGUUAUUACCAAGAGAGAAAACAGGUGAGUUGGGAUUGAGAACUCCUGAUUUUCAUCCCUGGUUUAGAUUCUUGGCCACAGUAGUGGUAGAGUUAGUCUUUGCUUGUGGAAAGCGUUAAGUGUGUUGCAGAUUCAGUUGUGUUACAUUAUUGUGGGUUCUAUAACAACAUAUUCCUCAUGGACACUUCACCAGAGUUGCUCACACUUUUUUCAAUUUCUCAUCCCUUUUGGAGGAAUGAACAUGAGACUGCCUUUAAGCCUAAAACAGGGACAUGCUCUCCAAUGACGAGAUUUUCUAAAGAGAAGGCUUGGAGCACAUCUGUUAAUACCUGAGCAUCUACUCUGAGCAGAGCAGUUUUAUUCAAUACUGAAGAGAGGGUGAUUUCUAAGCAAAGAAUUGUAUCACUUAUGUGGAAACCUUUCCCAGAAAUACAUAUACCUUGUAUAUUAAAUCCGAGUCUCAGAUUUAAUCAUCGAAGCCUAGCCGGGUGAAGAAACAGUCUGAUCUGGCCGGGUGCAGUGCCUGCCACCACACCUGGCUAAUUUUUGUAUUUUUAGUAGAGAUGGGGUUCACCAUCUUGGCCGUGCUGGUCUUGAACUCCUGACCUUGUGAUCCACCCACCUCGGCCACUCAAAGUGCUAGGAUUACAGGCGUGAGCCACCGCACCCGGCUACAGUAUCUUUAUUACAGCUCACUGCAGCCUCAAUCUUUUGGGCUCAAAUGAUCCUCCUGCCUCAGUCUCCCAAGUAGCUGGGACUACAGGCACACACCGCGGUGCCUGGCUAUUUUAUUAUUUUAAAAAAUUUUUUGUAGACACAGUCUCCCUGUGUUGCCCAGGCUGGUCUCCAACUCCUGGGCUCAAGUGAUCCACCCGCCUCAGCCUCCCAAAGUGCUGGGAUUACAGGCAUGAGCCACUGCACCCGGCUCCUAGUGAACAUUUUACUGUGUGUGUUGAUAAAUCAUCUUUUGAGCUUCUGUUGUAUGUGGGGACUUGCUACACUGGCUGCUGUGAAGAGGUAUGGGAAAAAGGAGAGGCUUUCUGCCUAGAAAUUCUUUGAGAACACCUGAAAAGACAGUUGAAUCAUGUCACAACACUCUUAAGGCUCAAGUCAGUGUUUUCUGGUUUCCAGUAGCUUUAGGACUGGAUUCUUUUAAACCAGGGCUGAUGGUGAGUUUGGUGUCUGUCUCAUGUCCCCCUCACUCCCCACCUCCUCAGUUUAAGAUAAGAGACAUAAUGAUUUCUACCAGAAUCCAAAGUAAAUCCAAAGGGGGAGAAAAGACAUACUGUUUUUUCUUCUACCUUUUUUUUUUUUUUAUUAAAGAGUUACGUCUCUGGCAGGAGGAAAGAAUACAAGAGUCUAUAUGAUUAGUUAGAGAGAAUAUUUUCAUCCCCUCUCCCUGAAUAGAAAAGCAGGGGUCACCAUGUGUAUCCUUACCCUUGAGGUGUUUUUGAAGAUGCUGCAACUCCUGAAGUAGAGCUGAGGCAGAAAGGUUGGAAAAAUGCCGCCCUCUGGGUAUUGUGGGAAGGGAUGUGACAUAGUAAGAGGGUGUUUUGUGGUGUUAGGAUUCCCACGCCACCAACCUUGCAGCUUUGUAAGGGCGCUACCAAGACCCACCACUGGGGAAAUGGUUCUUAUUCAUUGUUUCUGUUGGAAUGUGGUCUUGCUUUCUGGAUUUUAGGAAUUCAGGUUACUCAAUAUAAAACUUUGAGAAAUCAGUGUGACUUAGUCCUUCACCUCCUAAUAUAAAGUGAAUAUUUCUUUAUAAAAGAAUUCAUGUCCUUAAUGUUAAAGAUAUUUUAUUUUCAAAACAUCUGUAACAUGACUUUCAGAAGCAGUUCAUUUUUCCAAGAUUCCCCACAUUAUACUAGAUAAAUAAUAGGCCCUCAGUUAAUACUCUUGGGUUAUUGAAUUAAUCUAGUUUGCAGAAUGAGGUGUACCUGCCAAUUUUCCUCUGCUUCCAAGUGUACUCUGAGAAGUAAAAUGCUCUGGGAAAUGGAACAAGAAUUGAGUGGAUGCUGACUCUGUGUGCCCACCUCCUCAACUGAUUCAUAAUGGCUGACCUUGGGCAAGUCACUUCUUUCAAUGCCUCAGUUCCCCAUCUGUCAAAUGGGGGUAAUAAUACUGACCUACCUCACAGGGGUGGUGUUGUGAGGCAUUGUAAAUCAAAGUUAAUAGAAUACUUCAGGGUCCUCUGUGGAGGAUGUCUUGAGCCGGAGUUUAAGCCUGACACACAGGCUUUCAUCCUCACUGAGCUGUCUCCAAGACUGGAACUACUUAGUGACUCGGCAAAUUCUCUGCCCCCCACCCCUCAUCAAAGCUGCUAGUUCAGAUGUUGACAGUGUUUUCAUGAAUGUUAGAAUCUUAUUAGUCCAGACUUUCUUAGGAUGUUGUUGGGGAAGGCACUUAGGAUUUUCUGUGUUUUGCAUUCACAGAGGAAGGCCAUUUCAGAUUCAAGAGCAUUGGAUUAGGGAAUCGUGAGGCAGAGAUGCUACUGCUUAUUUCUCUCUGCAGGUUGGGGAUUAAAGUUCCAUUCCCCAUGGGUUUGAAGUAGACUCAGACUGUCUCAGGAUCAAAGCAACCCUCAGUGGUUUUGAUUUAUGUCAUUGCUUACCACUCCCCAAACUGAUCCCAGGACAGCUGGGUCACUGUACCCCUUUGUGGUAUCUGUACCCGGGCCUCUCCUUUCUCAUAGGGACCAGCUGAUUCAAUAAAUAUGACCACCUUGUUUCCACCCCCCAAAAAAAAACUACAUUGGAAUUAAAUUAUUUUUCCUAGAAAUGUGUGUAACACUCAGAAUUGGGCAUUGAUCCUUAAAGCUUCAUCCAAUUCACUGUAUUCAGCAUCUUGUCAUCUCUUUCUCAGUGUCUGCAGUCUGAACCUAACCUUGACCUUUUUUCCCUCUGGUUUGAGAAAACUUUGGACACUAUUUCUACUUGCCCAGGUGUGGGCUCAAGAGCCUUACUCUGUCCAUCUCAGUUUAGGGGUGCAGCCAGCUCCUCUUCCCAAUAGGGCUCUUUCUCCUUUUCCUCUCCUUGGCCCUAGAUUUGUAAUCCAUGAAAAAGCACAAGGUCCUGGCUCCUUGCGGUCACAUUCUGGUUCUCUGUGUUUUGUGGACUCUGUUCUCACUGUUCACCCAGCACUAGCAGUACCAGACGGUUCUGUGGAGUCCUGGGGAAUGGAGAGAGCACAGUCUGAUGUCCUGCCAAGGAGCCAGGAAUUGACUUGCCCAUGGUCCGCUGGCUUUCCCACCACUUCCUACAGGAUGGGAUCUAAGAGACUCAGGAGCUGGGUUUCUUUCAGCACUCUGUACUGUCCCAAGUAGCAAACAAAUCACUUUGUAGCCAGAUUUCUGAAUGGAAAUGAGAAAUUGAAUUCUCCAUGGACUUUUAGGUUUAUGGGGGAGUUUUGAUUGUGUUUCUUGGUUUUAUUUCAGCCAAACAUGUCUGCUUUCGAUUUUUUUUAAAAAAACUGUAAGUGGUCUAUAUAUAUGUUCACCUUUUAAAUGUAAAUGUUUAAAAAGUAAGCAUUUAUGUGUUUCCAUAACUGACAUCUGAUGCAGACCUCAUUCUCUCCCCCUCUUCUACCCUCCUCUUUUCCCUCUUUUCAUACUCUUGUAUUGGUUCUAAUAAAUGGUUGCUUUU
ensembl:lncRNA